UACAGGGGGUGCAACCGUUGCCCGGAAUCAUUGGGCGUAAAGCGCACGUAGGCGGUCUGUUAUGUCGGAUGUGAAAGCCCUCGGCUCAACUGAGGAAGUGCAUCCGAAACUGGCAGGCUAGAGUACUAAAGAGGGUAGCGGAAUUCCCGGUGUAGAGGUGAAAUUCGUAGAUAUCGGGAGGAACACCGGUGGCGAAGGCGGCGACCUGGGUAGAUACUGACGCUGAGGUGCGAAAGCGUGGGGAGCAAACAGG
rnacentral:rRNA from 1 species